UGAUCAUGGCUCAGAACGAACGCUGGCGGCAGGCCUAACACAUGCAAGUCGAGCGCACCCUUCGGGGCGAGCGGCGGACGGGUUAGUAACGCGUGGGAACAUACCCUUUUCUACGGAAUAGCCUCGGGAAACUGAGAGUAAUACCGUAUACGCCCUUCGGGGGAAAGAUUUAUCGGAGAAGGAUUGGCCCGCGUUAGAUUAGAUAGUUGGUGGGGUAAUGGCCUACCAAGUCUACGAUCUAUAGCUGGUUUUAGAGGAUGAUCAGCAACACUGGGACUGAGACACGGCCCAGACUCCUACGGGAGGCAGCAGUGGGGAAUCUUAGACAAUGGGCGCAAGCCUGAUCUAGCCAUGCCGCGUGUGUGAUGAAGGCCUUAGGGUCGUAAAGCACUUUCGCCAGGGAUGAUAAUGACAGUACCUGGUAAAGAAACCCCGGCUAACUCCGUGC
rnacentral:rRNA from 1 species